GAGUUUGAUCAUGGCUCAGAUUGAACGCUGGCGGCAUGCCUUACACAUGCAAGUCGAACGGCAGCACGGGAGCUUGCUCCUGGGUGGCGAGUGGCGAACGGGUGAGUAAUGCAUCGGAACGUAUCCUGGAGUGGGGGAUAACGUAGCGAAAGUUACGCUAAUACCGCAUAUUCUGUGAGCAGGAAAGCGGGGGACCUUCGGGCCUCGCGCUCUUGGAGCGGCCGAUGUCGGAUUAGCUAGUUGGUGAGGUAAAGGCUCACCAAGGCGACGAUCCGUAGCAGGUCUGAGAGGAUGAUCUGCCACACUGGAACUGAGACACGGUCCAGACUCCUACGGGAGGCAGCAGUGGGAAUUUUGGACAAUGGGGGCAACCCUGAUCCAGCCAUGCCGCGUGAGUGAAGAAGGCC
rnacentral:rRNA from 2 species